AAAGGGUCCGCAGGCGGAUGUAUAAGUCAGUGGUGAAAUCCUAUCGCUUAACGAUAGAACUGCCAUUGAUACUGUACGUCUUGAAUUCGGUCGAAGUGGGCGGAAUGUGUAGUGUAGCGGUGAAAUGCAUAGAUAUUACACAGAACACCGAUAGCGAAGGCAGCUCACUAGGCCUGGAUUGACGCUCAGGGACGAAAGCGUGGGGAUCAAACAGGAUUAGAUACCCGGGU
rnacentral:rRNA from 1 species